UACAGAGGGGGGCAAGCGUUGUUCGGAAUUACUGGGCGUAAAGGGCGCGUAGGUGGCCUUCUAAGUUGAACGUGAAAUCCCUGGGCUCAACCCAGGAACUGCGUCCAAGACUGGGAGGCUUGAAUCCGGGAGAGGGAUGCGGAAUUCCAGGUGUAGCGGUGAAAUGCGUAGAUAUCUGGAGGAACACCGGUGGCGAAGGCGGCAUCCUGGACCGGUAUUGACACUGAGGCGCGAAAGCCAGGGGAGCAAACGGG
rnacentral:rRNA from 1 species